GAAACUCAAAGGAAUUGACGGGGACCCGCACAAGUAGCGGAGCAUGUGGUUUAAUUCGAAGCAACGCGAAGAACCUUACCUAAGCUUGACAUCCCAAUGACAUCUCCUUAAUCGGAGAAUUCCCUUCGGGGACAUUGGUGACAGGUGGUGCAUGGUUGUCGUCAGCUCGUGUCGUGAGAUGUUGGGUUAAGUCCCGCAACGAGCGCAACCCUUGUCUUUAGUUGCCAUCAUUAAGUUGGGCACUCUAGAGAGACUGCCAGGGAUAACCUGGAGGAAGGUGGGGAUGACGUCAAAUCAUCAUGCCCCUUAUGCUUAGGGCUACACACGUGCUACAAUGGGUAGUACAGAGGGUUGCCAAGCCGUAAGGUGGAGCUAAUCCCUUAAAGCUACUCUCAGUUCGGAUUGUAGGCUGAAACUCGCCUACAUGAAGCUGGAGUUACUAGUAAUCGCAGAUCAGAAUGCUGCGGUGAAUGCGUUCCCGGGUCUUGUACACACCGCCCGUCACACCACGGGAGUUGGAGACGCCCGAAGCCGA
rnacentral:rRNA from 1 species